GCGUGAGUGACGAAGGCCUUAGGGUUGUAAAGCUCUUUCGGCGGGGAAGAUAAUGACGGUACCCGCAGAAGAAGCCCCGGCUAACUUCGUGCCAGCAGCCGCGGUAAUACGAAGGGGGCUAGCGUUGUUCGGAAUCACUGGGCGUAAAGCGCACGUAGGCGGAUCUUUAAGUCAGGGGUGAAAUCCCGGGGCUCAACCUCGGAACUGCCCUUGAUACUACUGGUCUCGAGUCCGGAAGAGGUGAGUGGAAUUCCUAGUGUAGAGGUGAAAUUCGU
rnacentral:rRNA from 1 species